CUAUAUUCAUAUCGUUGCGUCGCGUCGACCAAGAUUCAAUGGCGAUAAUCAAUCCGUUAUACUUUCGCUCUUCGUACUCAUCCGAGAAGGAUCCGAGAGAAAUCGCGAGUGCGAUUAAGGACAUGGAUCGUCGUCGUGACGCUUAAGCUAAGGUAUACGACAUUCAUUUGCUCGAAAUAUUCGAAUAAGAUUCGGUGAUCGCGAGGAAGCCAUCGGGAACGCCGAAGAAAAUCGUCGCAUUUCGCGUCAUUUCGAGAGUCAUAAAUAGCAUCGUACGGAUAAUUAAAUAUCGGGAUCUGCCUGUGUAAAGUAAGGGGUGAUUGCUUAACGUUAAUUAGUGCGUACAGAUAUGUGUUUCGAUUUUACAAAUGCUCGAGGACGUUUGAUUGUCCGAGAAUAAAAGGAGGGUAAAAGGAGAAUAAAAGAAGGACAAAAGAUUUCUUUGCUCAAAAUAAACUCUUGCAAGCACUUGUAGCGCCCUCGAACGUAGCCUACAUAUACGCGCGUAUCAUAUUGCCAACUCGUGCCCGUAAUUUUUUUGUCUUAAUUUCUCCUUAAUCCGCAGUGCGUCGCGAGUAUGACUUACGUGGUGUUGGCAGCGCCGAAAGUAACCAACGACCGCGACGCGUUGCGUUCUCGUAUUUUAAGUGCAUCGUGUGCGAGAAAAUAAACAUCGGGAACCCCACAUAAAGCAACGGGCGAUCACUCGAUGCGUUAAUUCUUACGUGCGUCAUAAAGACGCAUAUCGGUAAAGUGCUCCGCUUCGAGCAAAGUAUCAUUUUUGGAUUUCGUCGGUGAUCGUAAGAAUCGGUCAAGUAUCGUAUGAAGUGAUGCAACAUACGGGCGAUCGAUUAGUGCAAUAUAGAUCCGUCUUCGAUCUUAAUUCAUCACUAGUCCGCAGUGCGUCGCGAGCGUGACUAAUCGCGAAUGUCGAAUUAAUGGACGAUGCGGAUCGAUCGUAAUUGUCGCAAAUUGUGAUUGCUCGAUACAUGAAUAAUUUAAUUAUCGGGAGUGCCGUAUCAAGUGACGCGAGUGCGUUAAUUAAUGCGAACGAUCGUAAUCGACUAUAAUGACAAGUGUAAUGAGUGAAAUGCCUCAAGAAAAAGAAUCAUCGCAUCGCGAAAAGCAACGGCGGGAUAACGAGCGAUGGAUCUUCAAUCCAGGGAUCUCCGAUGCAUCUCCGUUUUUUCUGAUGGUCACCCGAGGCGAACCCUGCACGGAGUACGGAUGUCCGGGACGACCGCAGUACGAACCCUUCGUCCCUGCACCUCCAGGACACACCCCCAGCUGUGCGCCACCGGGGCAGACCUUCUGCGAAACCCUGGACCAUUAUCCUCGACAGCUCAUCAAAUUUCUCGUCGACAAAUGCAGCUUUGAUUUUAACACUGCGUUGCGAGACGAAUCUCGCAACGACUUCAAUUCUUACAGUUCCACUCCGGAUUAUAGUCAAGGCUAUGACUAUCCACGACAGGAUGAUGUAUAUCGAUUAUACACGCAGCUAAAAGAACAGCCGGCUUCGAUAUACGGAUCUCCGUCCAAUAAUAGUCGUUACAACGGUUAUAAAUAUUCUGCACCGCCGCAAUCGCAGAGAAACCCUUUUCUUCCGGAAGUAACUCUGAAGUAUCAUCAAAAUAUCCCACGACAAAUCGAUUAUAAUUAUCCGCAGGAAUCCUUGUUUAGACCGAAUCAAUCAUGGUUGACGAACAGAUAUUCACGAAGUGACAAAAUAGCACCACGAACUUUUAACGUGAAUCCUUUGUUGGGAUAUGCGAAACUUAAGGACGAUCGUGUUAAAAGACAAUCGAAUCCAGAUGCCAUCGCUCUAUGCCCUACACAAGCGCAGUAUAUCGCUCCCAAGGCCGCUCUAAAUAAUCAAGGCAACUGGAUGUAUGUUGUUAAUUUUCCGGGGCAGAAUAAGUACACGCAGUUGGUCAAAAGCGAAAAAUGUUUAAAUAACGAAUGCAACGGUAUUUGUUCGAUUCCGGAGGGAUACAGAAGCAAUUGUCAACAACAAUUCGUGCAAAAGAGACUAAUCGCGCUCGAGGGAAGCGGGAAUCGACUUUACACCGACGUGUUCUGGUUUCCACACGGUUGCUCGUGCCAGAUCAUACCAAAUUAUUGAAUAUAUGACAACAAACUGUGUCACAUUUAAUGAAUAGGAAUUAUUUUCAAGGAGCAAUGCCCUCGGAGGGGAAGGUCGCGGUGGCCGGCGGAAUCCUUGAAGAACAUCGAGGACUAACUUGACGAAGACCACCCGGAACGAAGAAGAAGGAAGCUACUCGAGCAAAGCAGAUCGUACAAAUCAACCGCCUUCUAACAAGCCACAUUAACCUCAAGUGAUUUCUAUUUUCUUACGAAGCGCGAAAGAAAUAUGUAAUUAGUAUGUUUAUAUUGACGUAAAGAAAAACCACACAAAAAGAAGAUAUUCCAAGAGCUUAGGUUCAGAAGAAGACAAAAGAUUAAGAGCUAUAUUAUCUAAUAAGUGUACAAAAUAUAUCUAACGAGAAAGGGGUGAAGAUAAACAGAUAAAAAUAAACAACUCCGCCAGUGCCAAAUCGAGGAAGAAAGCAAGGUGAAAGUGAUCGUUUUAACAGAGAGAAACAGAGAGAAGAUAGCGAAAGAGUAGAAUAGAGUAGAGCAAGAUUUAUUUUAUCUUGGAAUAAAGAAAAUAACUUUUUAGGCACACAGUGUUAUCUACAAAUUUCUGAAAAAAAAAAAUAGACAAACAAGUGCAAACGUACAGCGGCAGCAUUUUAAAAAAUAGAAGGAAAGGAAAAACAGAGAGAGAGAGAGAGAGAGAGAGAGAACAGACAAAGUAAUACCGUGCGAGAGCAGGACCGUAAACCAAAGAAUCUACCAUUUUUUUCUAUUCAUUGAAUAACAUAAUCUCUCGUCAGAUGAAAUAAUAGUGAGACACACACACACCGAUUCCUUCGUCAGAGCCGAUUAAGAGUUAAGCGAGCCGGCGUCGUUUUGUAGAGGUUUAUAGAAAUAGCCGUAAAAUAUAAGUGCAUUUUUUAAACUGGACGCGUCACAUGACAGAUUUUCGCCAAGCGAAAGGAAGAAGAAGCAGACAAAGGGAGGAAUCAACCAGAUUCGCUUGAAUACUCCCAGAGCAACCGAUCUACUUCAGUUCGUAGCCUAAACCUGUUGAGUACAAAAAGACACAGAGCUAGAGAUAUAGAUAGAGACAGAGGUAAAGGAAGAAAGAGGAAGAGUGAGAAGUUGAGUGCAAAAAAAA